rnacentral:rRNA from 1 species
UACGAAGGGGGCUAGCGUUGCUCGGAAUCACUGGGCGUAAAGCGCACGUAGGCGGCUUCUUAAGUCAGGGGUGAAAUCCUGGAGCUCAACUCCAGAACUGCCUUUGAUACUGAGGAGCUUGAGUCCGGGAGAGGUGAGUGGAACUGCGAGUGUAGAGGUGAAAUGCGCAGAUAUCGGGAGGAACACCAAUGGCGAAGGCAGCUCGCUGGGACGGUACUGACGCUGAGACGCGAAAGCGUGGGGAGCAAACAGG